UACGGAGGGUGCAAGCGUUAUCCGGAAUCACUGGGCGUAAAGGGCGCGUAGGCGGCCUGUUAAGUCCGAUGUUAAAGACUGGGGCUCAACCCCAGCAUUGCGUUGGAUACUGGCAGGCUUGACGGUUGGAGAGGCGAGCGGAAUUACCAGUGUAGCGGUGAAAUGCGUAGAUACUGGUAGGAACACCCAUUGCGAAGGCAGCUCGCUGGACAACACGUGACGCUGAGGCGCGAAAGUGUGGGGAGCAAACCCGGGAUUAGAUACCCU
rnacentral:rRNA from 1 species